CCUACGGGUGGCAGCAGUGAGGAAUAUUGGUCAAUGGGCGGGAGCCUGAACCAGCCAAGCCGCGUGAGGGAUGAAGGUACUGCGUAUUGUAAACCUCUUUUGUCAGGGAACAAAGGCGGGGACUAGUCCCCUGAUGAGGGUACCUGACGAAUAAGCAUCGGCUAACUCCGUGCCAGCAGCCGCGGUAAUACGGAGGAUGCGAGCGUUAACCGGAUUUAUUGGGUUUAAAGGGUGCGCAGGGGGGUCGUUAAGUCAGGCGUGAAAGGCCGGGGCUCAACCCCAGAAGUGCGGUUGAAACUGGCAGGCUUGAGUUGGAGUGAGGUAGGCGGAAUGCGUGGUGUAGCGGUGAAAUGCUUAGAUAUCACGCAGAACCCCGAUUGCGAAGGCAGCGUACC
rnacentral:rRNA from 1 species